CGCCGUGAUGUGGUAAUUUGCGUCCGACCCCGCUCCGGGCGACGGUUGCCUGCCGUCAGCGAGCCGGGGCGGGCGGGUGACGACGCUGUCGCUGAGCG
rfam:Erinaceus europaeus unplaced genomic scaffold scaffold01109, whole genome shotgun sequence